AUUGAACGCUGGCGGCAGGCCUAACACAUGCAAGUCGAGCGAGCGGCGGACGGGUGAGUAGUGUAGGGGGACUGCCUGAUAGAGGGGGCUAACUACUGGAAACGGUGGCUAAUACCGCAUACUAUCGGAUAACCCAUAUGGGAUUAGCUAGUAGGUGGGGUAAAGGCUCACCUAGGCGACGAUCCCUAGCUGGUCUGAGAGGAUGAUCAGCCACACUGGGACUGAGACACGGCCCAGACUCCUACGGAGGCAGCAGUGGGGAAUAUUGCACAAUGGGCGAAAGUCUGAUGCAGCCAUGCCGCGUGUAUGAAGAAGGCUUUAGGGUUGUAAAGUACUUUCAUCGGGGAGGCGGUACCCGACGAGGAAGCACCGGCUAACUCCGUGCCAGCAGCCGCGGUAAUAC
rnacentral:rRNA from 1 species